rnacentral:rRNA from 1 species
GAUGAACGCUGGCGGCGUGCCUAAUACAUGCAAGUCGAGCGAACAGACGAGGAGCUUGCUCCUCUGACGUUAGCGGCGGACGGGUGAGUAACACGUGGAUAACCUACCUAUAAGACUGGGAUAACUUCGGGAAACCGGAGCUACUACCGGAUAAUAUAUUGAACCGCAUGGUUCAAUAGUGAAAGACGGUUUUGCUGUCACUUAUAGAUGGAUCCGCGCCGCAUUAGCUAGUUGGUAAGGUAACGGCUUACCAAGGCUACGAUGCGUAGCCGACCUGAGAGGGUGAUCGGCCACACGGGAACUGAGACACGGUCCAGACUCCGACGGGAGGCAGCAGUAGGGAAUCUUCCGGAAGGGGCGAAAGCCUGACGGAGCAACGCCGCGUGAGUGAUGAAGGUCUUCGGAUCGUAAAACGCUGUUAUUAGGGAAGAACAAAUGUGUAAGUAACUAGGCACGUCUUGACGGUACCUAAUCAGAAAGCCACGGCUAACUACGUG